UGCCGCGUGCAGGAAGACUGCCCUAUGGGUUGUAAACUGCUUUUACAGAGGAAGAACCCUCCCCACGUGUGGGGAGUUGACGGUACUCUGCGAAUAAGGAUCGGCUAACUCCGUGCCAGCAGCCGCGGUAAUACGGAGGAUCCAAGCGUUAUCCGGAAUCAUUGGGUUUAAAGGGUCCGUAGGCGGGUUUAUAAGUCAGUGGUGAAAGUCUGCAGCUUAACUGUAGAACUGCCAUUGAUACUGUAGAUCUUGAAUCAUUAUGAAGUGGUUAGAAUGUGUAGUGUAGCGGUGAAAUGCAUAGAUAUUACACAGAAUACCGAUUGCGAAGGCAGAUCACUAAUAAUGUAUUGACGCUGAUGGACGAAAGCGUAGGUAGCGAACAGGAUUAGAUACCCUGGUAGUCUACGCCGUAAACGAUGGUUACUAGCUGUCCGGCCUAAUUGAGGGCUGGGUGGUUAAGCGAAAGUGAUAAGUAACCCACCUGGGGAGUACGUUCGCAAGAAUGAAACUCA
rnacentral:rRNA from 1 species